GACGAGGGGUCCUAGCGUUGUUCGGAAUCACUGGGCGUAAAGCGCACGUAGGCGGGUUCUUAAGUCAGGGGUGAAAUCCUGGAGCUCAACUCCAGAACUGCCUUUGAUACUGGGAAUCUCGAGUCCGGGAGAGGUGAGUGGAACUGCGAGUGUAGAGGUGAAAUUCGUAGAUAUUCGCAAGAACACCAGUGGCGAAGGCGGCUCACUGGCCCGGUACUGACGCUGAGGUGCGAAAGCGUGGGGAGCAAACGGG
rnacentral:rRNA from 1 species